rnacentral:lncRNA from 1 species
CAAACACUCUGAAUUCAGCCAACAGCUCCCUCUCCUUGCCCUUGUAGGCCUACGGGUGGUAACGAAUACUGCAUUUGCAAUAGUUAGGGUGCUUCACCAGCCUUUGUUAUCUUCUCUCAAUUGUGAUCACAGCUUUGUAAAUAGUCACUUUAUUAAAAUCUCUUCAGUGCAUGUGAAUGUCACAUUUUUCUUGCCAAUACCAAAAUCGUAGCUGAUAGAAUAGGAAGGGCCUGAGGAAAUAAACUGUCCUAGCAGAAUUCUGAGAUUAAGUUGCCUAUAUAUUUAAGGAGAGCAUAGAUACUUUCCUUGUAGGUGGUAAAUGAAACACCAGUAUUCCAUGUGGCACAGUAGCAUUAUCAUUAUUUGGGGUAUAACUGAAGAUGGCUUGGCAUGAAGUGCAAAUGGAAAACAAGGGAUUGGGAGAUUAAGUGGCUGUGGCACUCAGUUUCUAUGGUGACAAUAUUGUUUAGAAUGUUUUGGGGGUUAGUUAGUUGCUUCUGACAGCCCUGGAGAGCUAACAGUCGCCCUGAGAAAAGAAAAAUUGGAAUCUUUAACUGCCCAGCUCAUAACUCAAGUGGAAAAUCAGAAAGCCGUGAUGAUACCUUUGCUGUAGUGCUCUUUUUCCAGGAGUCCUAGAGCUGAUAUGUCUGGGACUGAUUCAUUAAGGACAUACAACAUGACCGAUGAUGAGUACAUGACAAGAAUGAAAACAAGGCAGGAAGAAAAAGAGGGACAGGUAAGCAGGCAGAAAGAAAGGAAGAGAGGAAGACAGAAAAAGGGCAAGAAAAAAAUGAGAUUGGGGUAGAAAGAGAAAAAAAACAAGGGAAAACAGAAGGAUAAGAAGUAAAAAUUCUAUAGCAUUAAAGAAUUAGAACUUAGCAAUAAGAAAUACUUUAUGAUAAUUACUUCUUCAUCUGGAAACUGGGGCUAAGACUAUGUACCCUGUGGAAUUUUUGUGACCAUGGGAAAUUAUUUAUUUUGAGUCGUUCUUUUUACAUUGGUUCAUUUCUACUCUAUUCAGGGUGAAAUUUCACUUCCCUCCUCCCUUGUCUUUAUUAUUCCUAAAAAAAUCUAAGAUACCAGUUGGAAAAAAGAAACAUUUGUGAAUCUUCAGGGCUAUUAGAAAAGAAGUAGUCCAAAAGGGAUAGGUCAGAUAAGGGAUUGAGAACCAGUGAGAGGCAAAGACAAACAUCUAGAGAACCACGGAUAAUCUACCAGGUAAUUAGCUGGUCA